GAAAUGCGAUAAGUAAUGUGAAUUGCAGAAUUCAGUGAAUCAUCGAAUCUUUGAACGCACAUUGCGCCCGCCAGUAUUCUGGCGGGCAUGCCUGUUCGAGCGUCAUUUCAACCAUCAAGCCCCGUGCUUGUGUUGGGGACCUGCGGCUGUCCGCAGGCCCUGAAAGACAGUGGCGGGCUCGCUAGUCACACCGAGCGUAGUAGUAUUAUCUCGCUCAGGGCGUGCUGCGGGUUCCGGCCGUUAAACCCCCUUUACCCCAAAGGUUGACCUCGGAUCAGGUAGGAAGACCCGCUGAACUUAA
rnacentral:misc_RNA from 1 species